GAGGGAGAGUGCCCAUUCCAUUGUUCCAGAUGAUGUGUCGGUUCCUGCUGAUAACAUUUGCUGUUGACAAAAUUUGCAUUAUUUUCUGCUAGUCUAAAGCAUGGAUUAAAGGCUUUGCUUAUAUUUUUCUCCUUUCUUCGGAGUAGCGUCGUAUAUAACGGCCUGUAGCUUUGACCAGCUUACAUUACAGUGGAAUCAGGACGGCACGGACUGUUUUCCUUGUACACUCGAUUCCCCAGUGGUGCAGUGCCGGUGGCAAAGAACAUUCCCAAAACACUAGGAUCACAACUCAGAAAGAAGGCUAACUAUUUCUGGGCGUGGCCUAUACUUUGCCAGCAGCGGUUGAAUUCUUGGCAUAGUAAGCCCAGCAGCUUCGCUCAUUUCCACCAAUUCUUUCCCACGUCUUUCCCAUUUAAAGCAUUGAAUGAGUGAGCCCAAUGCCAACCUCACAACUUGUCUAGCUAAAUUUUCACCAAGACGUGCUCUUUGACCACAUACCCAAACGGCUUACAAACGUUUCAGGCUUAAAUUUCGUGGAUUCAUCAA